rnacentral:lncRNA from 1 species
UAUAUGUAACGCUGCAUUAUAAAGUAACAUAUCCUAUCCUAAUCCUAUUAUAAUUAGAUCUAUCAUCUCUGGCGCAAAUGUCAAAUAGUUCGAUUGUUGGUAUCCGAGAUCUCAAAUUCGAAUUCUACUUGAUUCACAUUUUCAUCUAAAUUUACUUUUAAAAGAAAUAAACAAAACAAAUAGCGUAUUAUCUUUCUCUUAAAAAAAAAUCUAUUAUAAUUAGGAUUCUACUUUAAUUUAAAUUUAUAUCUUAUUCCAUCCUAAUGUAAUAAGUAUUUAACUCUAUAUUUAGAUAACUCAAAUCUAAUCAAAUUCCAUUAAAAA